GGGUGGGAGGCAGUUGUUGCCUCUCAGGAUUUCAAGUGGUCGGGCCGCCACCU
rnacentral:ncRNA from 12 species